GUUGGGUUGCAGGGUGCAGUCAAGUGGAUGACUAUAAAUUAAUUGGGAAAGGUGCAGGAGUAAAUAUUUCUGGUCAGGGAUGGGUGGCCAAAUACUCUAACGCGCUAAACGCGCUUCAUCCCUCAUAAUAUAGCAUCACCUUCCUCAAAAUUUCACAACGCCUGGCUCGGUCUCGGCUUCUACAACUUCUCUUCCUUUUAAUUCCUAACAAUCCCAUGCCCAUUCACACUUCUAAGACAUACCCCAUCCCCAUGGAAGCACAAUCCAAACCCACCCUCUCCAGGAAAUCCUCCUCCUCCUCCUCCUUCCGCCUCCGCAGCCCUAGCCUCAAUUCUCUUCGUCUCCGCCGCAUUUUUGACCUCUUCGACAAGAAUGGCGAUGGCAUGAUCACCGUUCAGGACCUUAGCCAGGCACUCGCCCUUCUAGGCCUAGAUGCUGACUUCUCGGAGCUUGAAUCAACCAUCAGAUCUCACGUUAGGCCAGGCAAUGAUGGUCUUGGGUUUGAUGAUUUCGUAUCACUCCAUCAGUCCUUGGACCAAGCCUUCUUUAGCAACGACGAGCAGAAUGUGGAGAAUGGACAAGAUGAGAUGUCGCAGGAGGAAUCUGAUCUUUCGGAAGCUUUCAAGGUGUUUGAUGAGGACGGUGAUGGGUACAUUUCUGCUCAUGAGCUGCAAGUGGUGUUGAGGAAACUGGGAAUGCCAGAAGCUAAGGAGAUCGACAGAAUUGAGCAAAUGAUCUGCUCUGUUGAUAGCAAUCACGAUGGCCGCGUCGAUUUCUUCGAAUUUAAGGACAUGAUGCGAAGCGUAAUCGUUCGCAGCGCUUAAUUCAUCCUCUAUCAUAUUUUUCUUUCUGCAGCUGGGUUUUUCC
rnacentral:misc_RNA from 1 species